AUUGAACGCUGGCGGCAUGCCUUACACAUGCAAGUCGAGCGGCAGCACGGGGGUUUGUACUGGGUGGCGAGGGGGGAACGGGAGUGUUGUAUAUCGGUAUGCGUCGUGGUGUGGGGGAAAGCCCGGCGACAGGCGGUAUUACACCGCACACGAUGUGCGGGAGAAAGGGGGGGCCUCGCGGCCCUCGCGCUCUGGGGAGGCCCGAUGGCUGAUUAGCUAGUUGGUGGGGUAAAGGCCUACCAAGGCGACGAUCCGUAGCUGGUCUGAGAGGACGACCAGCCACACUGGAACUGAGACACGGCCCAGACUCCUACGGGAGGCAGCAGUGGGGAAUUUUGGACAAUGGGCGAAAGCCUGAUCCAGCAAUGCCGCGUGUGUGAAGAAGGCCUUCGGAUUGUAAAGCACUUUUGGCCGGGAAGAAAUGCAGUGAGUUAAUACCUUGGUGUUAUGACGGUACCGAAAGAAUAAGCACCGGCUAACUACGUG
rnacentral:rRNA from 1 species